AGCAGCCGCGGUAAUUCCAGCUCCAAUAGCGUAUAUUAAAGUUGUUGCAGUUAAAAAGCUCGUAGUUGAACUUCGGGGUUUACCCAUUGGUCAGGCUUAAUUGUCUGUACUGGUGAGAUAAAUCUCUACCUUCUGAGGAACUUUCAUGCCAUUUAUUUGGUGUGAUUGGAAAUCAGGACUAUUACUUUGAAAAAAUUAGAGUGUUUAAAGCAGGCUAACGUCUGAAUAUAUUAGCAUGGAAUAAUGAAAUAGGACGGCUUGGUUCUAUUUCGUUGGUUUCUAGGAUCACCGUAAUGAUUAAUAGGGAUAGUUGGGGGCAUUAGUAUUCAAUUGUCAGAGGUGAAAUUCUUGGAUUUAUUGAAGACUAACUACUGCGAAAGCAUUUGCCAAGGAUGUUUUCAUUAAUCAAGAACGAAAGUUAGGGGAUCGAAGACGAUCAGAUACCGUCGUAGUCUUAACCAUAAACUAUGCCGACUAGGGAUCGGAUGAUGU
rnacentral:rRNA from 1 species